CAUCGGGGUCUGCUACAGCGUCAUGGAGGUCUGCUACAGCGUCAUCGAGGUCUGCUACAGCGUCAUCGAGGUCUGCUACAGCGUCAUAGAGGUCUGCUACAGCGUCAUGGAGGUCUGCUACAGCGUCAUCGAGGUCUGCUACAGCGUCAUCGAGGUCCGCUACAGCGUCUUCGGGGUCUGCUACAUCAUCAUCUAGGUCUGUUGCAGCGUCAUCGGGGUCUGCUGCAGUGUCGUCGGAGAUGCCGUCCACGCAUGAUGCUGGCUUCCGUUGUUCGUCGGUCAUUGAAACUGACGUGCAUCAAACUAGACAGUGGACAAGUGCAACACACUAUCGCUAUUGCAACCACCCACUGUGGGCAAGUGCAACACACUAUUGCUAUUGCAACCACUCACUGUGAUGCAAUGGGCGUCGGCAUCCGGCUGAGGAUCGGACACAGAGCAGAGUUGCGGACACGCAAGCCCCAGCACAUGCGUACUGCGUGGAAGAGACAAGCUGCACUUUUAUUACCCUUCACGGAGCGUUCGAAGAAAGUGCAUCGGACUGAACUGUGGGCCACUGUAACGCACGCUAUUACUGCUGCAAACAUCUACAGUGAUGCAGAGGACAUCAACGGUCAACGUUCAAUUUUGCAUGUGUCUGAAAAAAAUAAUUUUCCGAGUGUGCUGCUUGUUGCCGCUUGUUGCUGCUUGCUGCUGCUGCUAUCUUGCUUGUUGUGCGUGGAUCAUGGUCGUCGUUAUGUCAUAGCAGUGGGCUUGUGCGCAUGUCUGUGUGUGUGUGUGUGUGUGUCUGUGUGUGUGUGUGUGUGUGUGUGUGUGUGUGUGUGUGUGUGUGUGUGUGUGUGUGUGUGUGUGUGUGUGUGUGUGUGUGUGUG